rnacentral:snoRNA from 1 species
CCUCAUUUCCUUGGCAGGAACUGGGCAUGUAGUCCCACUCCCCAUUAUGUACAGAAGCAAAGGGAAGAGCUCCGGCCCCUACACAUCC